GAUCUGCUCAGGACGAACGCUGGCGGCGCGCCUAACACAUGCAAGUCGAACGAGCGAGAGAGAGCUUGCUUUCUCAAGCGAGUGGCGAACGGGUGAGUAACGCGUGAGGAACCUGCCUCAAAGAGGGGGACAACAGUUGGAAACGACUGCUAAUACCGCAUAAGCCCACGACCCGGCAUCGGGUAGAGGGAAAAGGAGCAAUCCGCUUUGAGAUGGCCUCGCGUCCGAUUAGCUAGUUGGUG
rnacentral:rRNA from 1 species